AACCUCCGCAAUGUGAGAAAUCGCGACGGGGGGAUCCCAAGUGCCAUUCUUAACGGGAUGGCUUUUCAUUAGUGUAAAGAGCUUUUGGAAUAAGGGCUGGGCAAGACCGGUGCCAGCCGCCGCGGUAACACCGGCAGCUCUAGUGGUAGCAGUUUUUAUUGGGCCUAAAGCGUCCGUAGCCGGUUUAAUAAGUCUCUGGUGAAAUCCUGUAGCUUAACUGUGGGAAUUGCUGGAGAUACUAUUAGACUUGAGACCGGGAGAGGUUAGAGGUACUCCCAGGGUAGAGGUGAAAUUCUGUAAUCCUGGGAGGACCGCCUGUUGCGAAGGCGUCUAACUGGAACGGUUCUGACGGUGAGGGACGAAAGUUAGGGGCGCGAACCGGAUUAGAUACCCGGGUAGUCCUAACCGUAAACGAUGCGGACUUGGUGUUGGGGUGGCUUUGAGCUGCUCCAGUGCCGAAGGGAAGCUGUUAAGUCCGCCGCCGGGGAAGUACGGUCGCAAGACUAGAAACUUAAGGAAUU
rnacentral:rRNA from 1 species